CAGAAUAUAUUUUGAUACCAUAAAUUUUAACAGUUCUGGCUGGUUUUAAACACUAUUUUUCCCCAACCAGGAAUCUGUGUGAAGUAAUAAUAUCUGAAGUGUUUCUUAAGAAGCAGAACCUGUCCCUAGGAAAACAUUCUCCUGACAAAGAAAUGUCUGCAUUGCAGAGCCUCCGUGAGUUACAGCUCUUUUCUCCCAUCGCUGGGCCUGUGGCCACUCCUGCAGGACCGCUUUGCUCAGAGGCCGUUGUGGUGGGCUGUUGUUCCCAUGUCUCUGAAGUCCUCGUGCCCACCUCCUCCAUCCUUCCCAGUGGGGAAGCGCUGCUGGUCCUGCUUGCACAAUGCAGAACUGAUUGACUUGUCCAGGAAGGAAACACUUGAGGGAAAUGGGGGCAAGAUGUGGGGAGCUCAUUAAAAUCUGCAAUCAGUAGUGCAGGACACUUGGAAGCCCACAGCUCCAUUACUGUAAAUGUAAAAAGAAUGGGAGUGCGGUCACUGUUGGAUCUGAGCUGACUCUUCAUCCCUCUGAAGGACAUUAUCCCUCUGAAAGAUAGCAUUUUGAUGGGACGUGGAGCUGUCACGUGCUGAUGGCUUUGGAAGCAGAUGCAGGUUUGUGUCUGAGUGAUGCCUGCCUGCAUCCCAAGGCUCUGGCCGGGCCAUGGCCACAGUGGGGCUCUUUGUGUGACUCUGGGGCAGGAGCUGCUCCUUGGGAUGGUUUCU
rnacentral:lncRNA from 7 species